CCACUGUAGUCACCCUUGGCCUUUUUCUCCCAACAGCUCCCUGUCCACCAUAGAGGAGAUUUGGCCCACAGAGGAAGGCACCAUUUGACUCUCACCUCCUGCCCAGUGCAGCCAGGGCAGGGGACAACAGAGCUGGGCACUGGGCCCCAAGCCUAGGCCCGUCCCCUGCUAACUCCCCGGUAAAGGCUGCCUACCACCUCUCUUGUCAAAAGUCAAACAACCCAGGCCAACCUGCUUCCAAACCGGUUUCUCAUGGGAUCCCAGGAAGAAACAAGCUCUCUCAAGGAAGUGGGAGGCAGGUGGCACCAGGGGAAUGUGUGCCCCCUGUCAUCCCAUCCAGUUGCAGGGUCCCAGCUGCAGCCCUGCCCUCAGGGUCUGCCAUCUUCUCUGAAAGAAUGACAUACCUCUCACCCUGAUAGUGUCCCAGUGCCAGGUGGAUGGCCCAUGAGCAUGCCCAGACCAUACUCGAGCAGCAAGGGGGACCAGCACGGCCAACUAACUCAGAGCCUCCCCUUGAAGACACCCAGAACCUAAAGAGGCCAGGAGCACCAAACAGGGCACCCAGCUCCCAGUCAGAGCAUGUCCUGCCGCUCAGCGAGCCUGGCCCAGGUGAGACUCCGCCUGCCCAGUUAGCACCACUUCCGCUUGCCACCAGCCUGUCAUUCCAGGGUUUCCCUGUAGGGCCUGCCUGACCUGGCUUUUGGGGACUGUCUCCCAUCUGUUGCCUCAGCCCUGCUGGACUUUCGGAACCUCUGCCCUGAGAAGGCAGCACAAUCUGCUACUGGGGAUCGAACUGGAGUCCUUGCGCUUACAAGGCAGAUGGCGGAACCACUGAGCUAAAUCCCAGGCCCCAGCUUUUAACUUAACCAUUGACCGUACUUUCCUGUGUAUGAAGACCCUGUGUAUCAAAUGAGACUAAUGGGCGGACCCAUCCUGUGAUGUUUUCAGCCCUCAGAAAUGCGCUGUGCCAGCCGAAAGGCUUUCUUGACCGUCCCAGCAGCUCUGAGCACACAGAAGGGAACCCAGCGUGACAUCCCCCAGCCUCAGUGAGUCAGCAGCAUCCAGCCACAUCCUCAGCAUGCCGUGACACUGUGGGAGCACUCCUGGAGUGGCACCAGGGCCUUUCUACCUUUGCCCUGUGUCUUGAAUUGACUGAGCCCUGCGGGGUUGAGGUCAAGGCAACAGAGUCACCUCCUUCUGAGGCAUUAGCAGUCAGGCCUCCUCAGAGGCACCACAGGAAACAGAUGACAACCAAAUGUCAAAACUUUGUCAGAUGCUGCAGGUUCAGAACAGGACAGACCUCUGGCUCUGAGGGUGAGGACAGACCUCUGCCUCUCUCUGCAGCUCCAGACCUCAGGUUGGGACCAGGUCCCUCCUCUAUUCCUCCGCCACCUGGCAAUUCUACCCACCCCACUUCAUGCCCAAGUUCCAGUGCCACCUUUCCAUGAAGCUCUCUUGGAGUUCUCCCUUCCUUCCUGAUGGGUUCAGCCUCUGAACCUCUGAGCCCUGAAAGCCCCACAUCACUUUACCUGCAAGGAUGCUCAUAUCCAACUCCCUUGAGCCCUGUCUGCACCAGGCUGAUCCCUCACCCUGCACAGAGUGAUAAUACAUUUAAUUCCCACAGCAGUCCUAUGGAGGAGGUGACCACAGGGAAUAUGGACAAGAAGGAUGAGGCCCAAAGACAGGUAGCAACCUACCCUAGAGCACAUGGCCACUAAGUACCAAGGGCAAGCUCUGAAGCAAGGUCUAUGUUGGGCCACAGUUCCUUGAUGUACCUCUGUGUCGUGCAGCCUCUAAGUUAAUGUAUUUCAUUCAUUCAUUCAACAAAACAUUUUCCAAGUGCCAGAUCUCCAACUGGCAUCUCUGGGCAUGAGACAGAUAUAUCCCUGCCCUCCUGGACUUUAUAGCUUGAUGAGGAAAUGAAGUAAGGAACUUUAAAAAAAUCAUAGAAGUGAUUAAUCAUCCAAUAAGUGUGAAGACAAAUAUUUACAAGCAACAGAGAAAGCAUGAAAUAGAGAACUCACUUUAGCCAGGUAGUCAGGGAAGACCUCUUGAAGGAGGUGACAUUUGUAACAAGGUCCUGAUGGAUGAGGAGGAGCUAGCCUUGGAAAAAGUCGACCUGGGGAACAGCAGACCAAGGAGGAGGAACCGCAUGUGCAAAACUCAGAGGGGGGACCAGCUCCAAGUGUGGAGAAACUGGCAGCUGGCAGGUGUGGCCAGAGCACAGGGACAAGAGAGGAGACCAAAGAGCAGAGCUGCAAAGACAGAUGGAGAUGGCAUCACCUCCCAGGGCAGUGGGAAGUGCGGUGGAGGAAAACAGGAACUGAGGAUCAAUUUAUAGUCAAGGGCAGCAGCUGGCAGACUCAGCUCUGCCUGCCCAGGUCAAGGCCAUUGGUCCUGGCCAGGCAGAACAACAUCCCUGUGCCCCUUUCCUGCCAACACUACAGAGUCUUGACAGCCAGAGGUAACAGGGACCAAGAAGGAGCCCUGCAGAAUACUCCACUCCCUGCUGCCACCAGGGUGCAGAGCAGGGUGGCCACCCACCCUCUGGCCAUCCAGAGAGCUGGGAGGCAGGCAUUGGCCCUGAGCAGGCAGUCUGUCAAUCCAUCACCCAUUAGGCCUCUGCAGCCUUGGCCCUCAGCCAUUGGUGGCUGCCCCGCUCUCUGAACACUGUUUCGAUAUGAGUAUUGAUGUGAAUAUAUGAACAUUUAUGUUGCAAGUAUGAUGGAAGUGAGAUAAUAAGAACAUGUGCUGGCACUUAAUUUGUUCAUCAACGAUCUGAAUGAUUUUUCUUUCUGAACCGAGCUCAAAAUACUGGAAUACUUGUUGGAACUGAAUCACAAUUUUCCAGCUUCUGGUGUGAUUUGCAAAGCAUGCAGCCCCUGUGUGGGGUGUGCCUUAUCAUCCUCAUCUCCUCUACUUCCUCAAGUCUAUCCAGACAAUCAGAAAACAACAAAUCAAGGCCUGACUGAUAGCCCUUGCAGACUUACACAGUGUAAAUAUUACCAGCUUAGCAAGUUUCAGGAUGAAUUCAACACAGAGUUAGAGAAAGAUACCCAGGGGUCAGCAUCACACAGUAGGGUUUCUACCACACCACUGCAGUAAGUGUCGGUAACUCCAGGAGCACAUGUGUAUUCACUUUCUAGGGCUGCUGUAACCAACCCCCACAGGUGGGGGGCUUGCACAACAAUAUGUAAGUGCACCAUUCUAGAGGCCAGAUGGCCGAGAUCAAGCUUUGUGAGAAAUCCCUUCCCGUGCCUCUCCCCCCACUUCUAGUGGUGGCUGCAAUCUCUGGGGUUCCUUGGUAUGUAGAAGCAUCACCCCAUCUCUGCCUUCCUCUCUGCAUGGCCUUCUCCCCAUGUGCAUGUCUGUGUCCACGUUCCCCUGUUUUUUAAGGACACCAGUCAUUUUGGAGUAGGAGUUGACCCCAAGAACCUCCUGUUAACUUGGUUACCUCUGUAAAGACCCAGGCACCAAAUAAGGUCUGUCCUGAGGUGCUCAGGGUUGGGACUUGAACACAUAAAUUUGGGAGAAAGGUGAGAAUACCAUUCAACCUGUGACAAUGGAUUAUGGCAAAAUUUGGUCAUUAGGACAUAAUGCAUUGUAAGGAUUUAUUAUUAUAACUUAAUUUUGUUUAUGUAAUUUAAUUCUUAAUAGUAGCUGUGCUUAACAACCAGUUCACAAAGUAUCCAACAUUUAGCAGCUAGUAGUAUUCCACAGACCACUGCCCACCCCCCUCUUCUGCCCAGCUGCAUCCCCAACCUGCUUCUGCGGGCUCAGAUAAUGGACAUCCUGUGCAUCUCCUCUGAGCAACCCAAAGCCUGGUCUCCACCUCCCGGAGGGGGUCCUGAGAAAGGGAUGCUCUGGAGGCCAGUAUGAUCACAGCUGCCCAGCUGGACUAGCAAAGAGCUGAAGACAGUCCACACAUGCAACUCCAGGAAAGCUCGGAAAGCACCGCCUGGCUCUGCCCCUGUAUGGUGACCAACCCUCUCAUUUUGCCUGGAUCGUCCCUGCUCAGCACUGAAAAUUCUGCAUCCCAGGAAACUCUUAGUCCUGGGCAAACUGAACACUCGGUCAUGCUCACCUCGUAAUCAUAGGGUCCCAGCAAAAAGAAAACAGAAAAUGCUUUUUGGUGAAAAUUAAGCAGAACACAGGGCAGCAUCUCUGCAGAUCUCAGAGAUCCAUUCCCUGCUUGGAGGCAAGGCUGGUGCCCAGGGGCUUCUCAGUAAGGUGUGCAGUGAGAACCGGGGUAUAAAUGUGGGUCAAGCCUCAAUGUGGCAGGGCAGUGCAGCCAGGAGAGGAGACCCAAGGAGUGGGCAAAGACAGCACCAGAGCGGGGUUCAAGUCCUAGCUCGGCCACACAGUAGAUGCAUGACUUUGAGGAGGUGGCCUGCCACCUGUGCCUCCAUUUCUCCAUCUGUAACAUCUUGGUGGGUGGUUGGUGGUUUCAGUAAGACCCACUGUGGAAAGCACAGUGCCCAUCUUGUCCAAGACACCUCAGCAAUACUGUCAACAAGCAGAGCCAAGUGAAUAGGAGUGUGGGCGCUUUUUUUUUCUGUUUAUAAUUGUUUCCAUUGUGGCUAGUCUGGUGUUGUGUGUACAAUCAAAACAAAACAGAAAUUAUGAACAUCUAGGUAAACAGAUGUAUAUAAAUAGAGCCUGAAACCAAAUGUUGGCUGUGGGGAAUAGGGAAAGGGCUGCUGCGGCUGGACCCCGAGCAUGUCUCUGUUCCAGGGUAUCCUUAGAAGAGCUGGAGAAGCCGCUGGGCCCCCUGAGCUUAUGCCAACCCAUGCCUGAACUAAAGCCUGAACAGGCAGCUCUGGUGGCUAGGGAAAUGGGAAGCAAUAAGUGUAGCCCCCAAGUCAGAAAGGGUGCCUGUGUUUACAGAGCAGCCCAGCACAGGCUCCAGCCCACCUCCACUGCCUGACACAGAUUCUGCUCCUGCUGCAGAGCGACCUCAGCAACUUGGGGCUGCAGCAACCCCAGGGGAGGAAACUGUGCCCCAUUACACAGAAGGGGCAGCCACAACCCUUCCCCAUUAGAAACCCAAAAUACAAAUUUUAAAAAGAGCAAAAUAAAAUACAGAUAAUAGGAGACCGGGAGCUAGAUCUUUUGCAAAUUGGAAAGGUAUGAAGAGAUGGAGGGAAGGGCCGGGGAUUUAGCUCAGUGGUUCCGCUGCCUGCCUUGCAAGCGCAAGGACCCGAGUUCAAUCCCCGGUACCAAAAAAAAAAAAAAAGAGAUGGAGGGAGAGGGGAGAGGGAAGGGAAGGGAACAUGAAAGAAUUAGGGUGUGUUAUGUACCACCCCCCAACUAUGAAUGUAAUCAUAGACUGCAAGCAUGUACUAAUACAAUUUUUUUAAAGAGUAAGUUCUUUUAUAUAAAUAUUUGCUGUAGCAC
ensembl:lncRNA